UCGAGCUGUUCGGUGAAAACAUCGCCGUGGGUCUGUAGAAGUGGAGCGCGGCAAUGGUGGCGUGGCUGGAGGAAGCAGCGGUCGUAACUUGCCUAACCUAAGCUCAGCGAAGGAAAAAGAGAGAUGACACCAAGGGAAGUAAAGGACCCAGUGAUGACUCAAAAGGAAUCCGUCCCAGAAUGUUGCUGCAAGGACCUACAAGGUCAGGGGUGUUGUAUCCCAGAUUCAUUGUCAGAUAGCAUCAACUUGAAAGUGACCAGCGGCACCACUUUUUCCGAAGAACAGGCCAUGCCAGCGGAGACGUUUACGGCCAAACAACCAUCGGCUCCUGAUGGUGGCUGGGGUUGGGUUGUUGUGCUGGCUACAAUUCUUAUCUUGGCAUUGACUCUGGCUUUCCCUUCUUGUUUGGGAAUCUUCUACACUGAACUACAAAACCAGUUUGAAGCCAGCAACAGUGAGACAUCAUGGGUGCCAUCUAUUAUGACAGCUGUACUGCACGCAGGAGGUCCGCUGUGCAGUAUCUUAGUGGAACAUUAUGGCUGUCGUUUCACUGUAAUGCUUGGUGGGCUUUUGAGUGGCAUCGGCAUGGCUGCUAGCUCCUUCUCCCAGACGAUUGGUCAGCUUUAUCUCACUGCUGGGUUCAUCACAGGUUUCGGAUGUUGUCUGAGCUUUCAGCCAUCCAUCACCAUCAUGGGACAUUACUUUGUGCGCCGCAGACCACUUGCCAAUGCACUGGCAUCAACGGGCACUGCCCUUGGCUUGUCGACUCUUCCAAUUCUGGCCCAGUACCUGCUAAGCCACAUGGGAUGGAGAGGAAGCUUCCUUAUUUUUGGGGGUAUCCUGCUGAACUGUUGUGUCUGUGGGGCAGUCAUGCGGCCGGUGUUGCCUCGAAAAAGGAAGGAAGUCCAAAACCAGUCGCACAACCAGAUAACCGGGAAAAAGGACAAAAUAGCACAAGUGGAAGCCAAGAAGAUGAGUAAUGGGCUUCCAUCCCAUGUAAAACACGAUACUGGUAGAAAAUUAGCUUCCUUUACCUUAUUGCUUCAGAAGUACAUGGCCUUUGAUCUCUUCUGCCGUAACAAGCGCUACCAAAUCUAUGCGGUGGGGGUAACAUGGAUGAUGCUGGGAUUUGUCGUACCUUUGAUAUACCUUGUGCCUUACGCAACCGACUAUGGGAUGGAACAAAGCAAAGCUGCCCUGCUCCUUGCUAUUCUGGGAUUUAUCAACAUCUUCAUGCGACCCUUAGCUGGCCUAAUCUCAGGGCACCGCUUCUUCUCAGGGAAAUACAUUUACGUAUUUAGCUUUGCCGUACUUGUCAAUGGUCUGAGUGACUGCAUUUGCGUCAUCUCUGCAAGUUUCAAUGUGCUACUUGUUUACGUCGUAGCAUAUGGCAUAUCUAUGAGUUUCAUUGGGUCCCUGCUCUUCCAAGUACUGAUGGACACUGUUGAGAUACAGAGGUUUCCCAGUGCUCUGGGGCUUGUUACCAUAAUGGAGAGUGUGACUAUCCUCAUUGGGCCACCGUUAACAGGCCUCAUUGUGGAUACUACCCUGGAGUACAAGUACGUUUUCUACGCCUGCAGCGCCGCAGUGGCAUCCUCUGCAGUCUUCAUGGGUGUGUCCACCUACCUUUUAGAGGGCAAAGAAAGCAAGAUCAGCGCAAUACAGGACCAGGCGCCAGUUUUCUCAUCAGACUGUCGAUACACUGGGAUGGAGCAGGAAAGGGUGCUUGUGCAGAGGAGAAGCACUGAGACGGUUUACAUCACCAGCGUUUGAAGCCACUAUAGAUGUCUGAUGUGGAAAGCGUUUCACCACAGUGAGAUUUGGUCUACCUAGAAUUAUGAUAGCGCCCUGUCCCACUGGCAUCACACCAUAAUAAUAAAUCCAAUGACGUAGAAACCCCACUGAUGCUUUACCAGUCAUGGUGCUUCAGCAGAUAACUUGUCCAAAAAUGAGAAGAAAUAUUCUGAUCAUGUGGUGGGAAACACUGCCCUUAUCUGCAAGGAUGGGGUUGCUGUACCCAAGAAGAGGGACGUGCAAAUGUUUCGGACUGUUUGAAGACUGCAGUAUGUGAGCGAACAAGAUUGUUAAAAAGAAUCUUUUUGAUGAAAAGACAAUUCAAGAUUAUCAAGUCCUGCUCACCGAAUGUCCAAAAUUAGAUGGAGAUUUGAAGGUCCGCUAGGUGCUGCUGUCAACUACACUGCUUUUUCUGGAAUUCUUUGUGUAAAAGAAAUUUUGGAACAGUUCCCACCUUUGCCUCAGUGACCUUGUGGAAAAAUCCAUUUCAGAUUAACAGCUGGCGUCCUUCUAUAAUUUCAAAUGUACAAACCCACACCAAAGUUGACACAGUGUGGAAGCGAGAUAAAAUGUGGUGGAGGUGUUCAACUCUUUUAACCUUCCAGCUUUCCAAUGGCAGACUUUUAAGUGAAGUGAUGAUUUGUGUGUGAUACUCAGCCUUAACUUUAGCAAUUUUGGAGGUCAACUUACAUUUUCAAAGAAACGUCUGAUGAAAAUUUGUUAGAUUUGGUAACUCCUUUCAAUUUGAUAUCAUUGCCAGCCAAAUGUCAUGGCCUGUGAAUGUCGUCUUCUGUUUACGGAAAGAGUGCCUAGCGUCUAGUCAUCAUCAGAAAGUUCAUAUUCUGCUAUUUAAAGAAAGAAGAACGCAUGACGCCAAGGAAUGGUCACUUCAGCCUGAGAUUGUCAAGUUCACAGAACAUUUCUGGAGGUGUAGGAUGAGUCGGACACACUCUGCACUUCCCAACUGCGGUAGUCGUGGGGAGGAAAAGAAGAAAUUGGCGGGUUUGACGAAGACUACGAGUCAACCACAAACCGAACGGAGCUUCAACACGUGAGUGUGUCGCUUGACCGUGAAAAAUCUCCGAUUUCAGUUCCUGAUGACUACCCCUCAAGAGAGUAAAAGGAGCAGAAAAUGGAUUUCCUUCUAAACCCUUACCACGUCCUCGGAUUUGGGUUUGAAAUCAAUAAAAGCCCCCAAAUUUUCAUCUGGUCAAAUCAAAGUGUAUUCGCUGUGACAAAUACAGGGAGAUUCAUGCAAAAAGAGGCUCCAAAUAUUCUGUUGUAACUCCCGUUUGGAUGAAGCAAUCUGAAC